rnacentral:lncRNA from 1 species
UUUUUAAAAAAAAAUGUUGUGGUAUCACAAUUUUAUGCAUAGAGGAUUAUAAAUCCAUUAUUCUCGGUGCAACUCAACAUGUCCUCGACUUGCUAAAACAUAGGCAACACAAGAUGAAGGGUCGAAGUAGAUGAUGACUUACACGCACUGGCUCUUGUCAGCGCAGUCGCAGUUGCCACAGGUUGACAUGUUGAGGUGGAAUGAGAUAACUGAGGGCAGAAGGCUACAAGAAAGAUCAAGAGUUGUGGGAUGUGUUCUUGGGGAUGAGUGUUUGCUUGGUUGGUGCUUAUUUAUAGGCCUUUUUUUUUUUUUUGGUUCCUGAAGAGACCUCCCGUCAUUGUUUGUGCUGUCCACACGCCGCCACCAAGAUAAGCAUCCAAAGGAAUCUCAAUUAUGGGGAGCAGAAGACGGACAUACACCUCUCAUGUCAACAUCUUAAUUCUCUGACCUUUUCCCAAUGUUGGAGAUAGGCAUCGAAGCUUGUGAAGGUUCAUCUUUCCAUACCAGGUGUGGUGGAUAUUCUGUCAUCCUCUUGCUGAGUUGUGAUGGGAGUUUUGUGGAGAGUAGAAUCCAUCAGACUAUCAGGCCAAGGAGGUGGAUAUGAUCUCAUCCAUUGUUCAUCAAGCAAUGAUAGUUUACCCUGUAAACUUAUGCAGGUGGCCAAGAUGGUUGUGAAGCAGGUAAUCUUUGGGGUAUGCUGUCACUAAUUUUGGUCUCUCUGCUUGUUGGUCUAAUAAGAUGAUAGAGGCAUCUUAUUUGAGCAAUGAUUUGAACAAUAUCUACUUGCAUUAUGUUACAGGAACAUCGAUGAAGGGUGGGGAGAUUCUGAAGGUAAUGGUUCUACUUGUGCGCCUCACCUCAACAUUUCUGGCGUGGUCUGGUCUGGUCUUUAAAUCAACAGGUUCUACUGCUUCCUAUACAACAAAUCAGAAUCAGCAUUUUCAAGAUGGGGCCAGUUUUACCAGCAGCAGAUAGGGAGGGGCCCAAAGGCCGGCUUAUUAUAUGCAACAUUCUAGUUAUGGAAAGUAGAACAUCAUGAAUGCAGGCUGCUUCCACGACAAUGACUUAUCAGAGAGGGGGAGGGGGGGAGCGGGCUCAUGCUCAUCGAGUAUCGAAAUGAUGAGGUGUAUGUGUGUGUAUGUAUAUUUGGGAAUUCGCCUAGGGAAUGUAUCGAAAUGAUAUUUUUCUAUUUUAUUUUCUUAAAAUAUGUUGGAUUUUUAAUUAUAUAUUUUUUUAAAAUCAACAAUAAGCAUUGCAUAUAAAGUUAAUAUAUUUUUCUUCGAUCGUGAAAACUUAAUUAAAAUUUCUUUCUUAUAAAUUAAAUUUUAAUUUUAUUAUCGAAUGUUGCUGAUCUUUUUAUCCACUUCCUGCAAUCGCUUUUCUCAGCGUCAUUGACAUCUCACAGAAUUCAUAAGCAAAAUUGAUUAAAAGCUGUAUCUAGACCUCCAACUUUGAUUAAUAGUGCCAAAUCUAAUUAAACUCCUGCUUACUCAUGUCAUUCUUUCACUUCACCUUGCUUGUAAGAAAGAAAAGUAAAAGUAAUCUGGAAAGAGAACACAAAAAAGCAAGACAAAGAGACAAAAAAACAAAAAAACAAAAAAACAAAAGAUUGUGAUAUGAUGCAGAGUUACAAUAUAUCUUGCAAUAUAUCAUAGAAAUGGUUAAGGUCAAUUUUCUCUUUUCCAGAACGAAUAGCUUCGGCACUUUUUCCAUCGGAUCCUUGUGCAGCCAUCUCCACAAGCAUAUACAACUUCUUGAUUGAUAUCUGAAACAGUCCACAUAAACAUAGAGAUCAGUGAUUACCUUUUGAUUCAAUUAUGUGAUGUGACCAAUAACAAGAUUGUGAGAGAUAAUUUACAGCAAAUAAUUUACUUAUACUCAACAUAAUAACUUACAUCAUUCAGUUCUUCAACCGCUAAGUCAAGAUCAUCUUCAGAAAAUACGCUGAGGCUUUGCAGCACCUGGACAGAUAUCAUGAAUUGAGGUUAAAAAAUAAAAAAACAGGAGCAAAUAAUCCUCAGGAUACUUAAACGUUGACAGUAAAACGUUUAGAAUAAUUAUCGCCAUCAAAAAGAUUUUGCCCUUAGAUACAUCUACAGUAAGUGCCAAAUGGUCCUACAUAAUAAAUAUAUAUUGAUUCUAAAAAAUAACUAUAUACUGCUUAAGUCACAUAGCCGCACUCUUUGAGCUGGCUGGAUUCAAAAUCCCUGAAAUGUCACCUGAAAGAACUAUAUUCUUCUUAUAAAAUGCCUGAUCCAGUGUAUGACUCCAUAGACAUGACAAAAUUGGCUCAUAGUUUUUGAAGAGAAAAUAAAUCCCAAGGAAAAGCAGCAAGCAAACAUGUAAUAAAUGAGAUGAACAACAGGAUCCUACUAUUCAUUCCUUGGUUGUGUAUUAUGUUCAUGCAUCUAUCAGUUUGACUUCGGAAAUACCAUUGUAAUAAAUGGUUACGAGGAAAUACAGCUCUAGCCUUCUGUACACCUCCAAAAAUUAAACUGGGCACGACCUUAAACAUAUCUGUUGGCAUGUUACUUUACCUUCUUGGCGUCUUCCCUGUUCAAUCUCGGAACAUGAUAUGUAACAGAGAAUGCAUCACAUAUACCAAGAGACUCCAAAAAUCCCACCUCGCUGCUUGUCCCUAUUACCAGCAUGUUCUUACCCUGAAGAAAAUUAAGACGUCAUAAAACAAACAAAAUAGCUACAGUAAACUAUGGUUCACUGAUGGGAAAAAUCACAAUGAGCAACUUUGGGACAAAAAGAAACUAGAGGAUAUAACAUUGAAGUCAGUGAUAUAGCUUUCUUUUUUCUUUCCAUUUUUUUUUCUUUUUACUAUUCGACAACGAGAACCAUAAUACAGAAAAUAAGAAGAGAACCUUUGGAGGAAGCCGUUUCAGGAGGACUAAUAAUGUCUGUGAAAUUAAAUUUGAAAAGCGCGGUCCAAUAGCAACAUACUCUAAUAACCUGAAGAGGUGAACAUCGCAAGAAUUGUCAACUCACUAUAUACCAAGAGAAUCAGAGUGCAAUACAAGUUUACUUUCCUAAAUGUAAAUAGAGGUUAGUCAAGAAUUGGCUAUCAGAAAUCAAGUUUAACAUAGAAUGAGGUUCUGAGGCUGUAGUCCAAUAUGUUCAAGUAAUACUAGGAAUCUCUGGAAAAAAUCAGAAUGAAUCACACUACCUCUCAAUAUCAUCAAGAAUUAUGAUGCUUAGUUGAGAUUUAUAAGCAUCUUCAAAAACCUGUGAAAGACAAGAUAGUUCUACUUGAGUUUAAUUACUGAAGCUUCAGAAAGAUAGUUCUACUAGUACAAUAUCGGGCUCAUACUAACCUUGACAAUUUGUGCACAUUUACUUCCUUCACUGAGACCGAUCAUUGUUUCUGCAGAGAUCUACGCCACGAAAGGUAUCGAUCAUUAGAACAAAAGAACAACCAAGGCACUCUGACCAUCCAAAAUGAGAACUUACAAUCUUGACAAAUGGGAAAUCACUCUCAAUGCCAAUUGUAGCUGCCAUUGCGGUUUUGCCACUGACACCAAAGAACUAUUAUAUAUAAAAAUGCUAAGCACAUUCAGAUUUUAUCAUUUACAAUAACUCUUGUAAAUUACCUGCCACUAAGACCUUCCAGAAGGCAUGUAACAAGUGGGCUACCCUGGCUUACUUUUACUUGCUCCACGAGAAGCAUAGCUCUUUCAUGUAUGUGCAUGUGUCUCUCACCACAGUCAACAAUGCCAUUAAGCCUGCAUGCCAUUCAAGUUCUGAAGAUAAUACUCCGUAAUCAAAACAAAACUGAGAUCCAAUUCGUGUUUAACAAAUGAAUAGAGUGAACAUUUGCUGGAAAAAGAUAUGGAUAAUUUAGUUUUAAGCCAUAUGCAUUACAAAAACCUUUGUUCAUCAUUAGAAGCCUAAUGAUGUUUCAUACUUUAAUUUUACAAUAAUGUGGUAGAAACCAAAUAUUGCAAAUAAAAAUUAAGGAUUCAAAUGUUGGUCCGACUGGUAGAUACCAAUUGGCAUUUCCAGUCUGACCAAGGAUCAAAAUAGAACCAAAUAGUCCCUAUGGUUGGUAUGUGAACUUUGUAUUAUUUUUUUCUGAUGAUACUGAACAGGAACAAGGUGGUCUUCUACUGAUAUAAUGGUACCACAGCAGUUCAACCAGUUCUGAAAAUGGUACUCAUAUAUAAAACCUUGUAGAAACACCAUUUAAUAUGGAUCAGGUUUUUAGAAAUAUCAAAAUCAUGAACAAAAUUCUUUAACAGCUCUUGCAACAUAGUUUUCUGAAGUGUUUUUUUUAUAUUUAUGAUGACAUUAUUUAAACCCCACUUAAGUAGCAAAGGCUAAUUUUCAAUCAAUCAACCAACAGAAUAGUUAAAAAGAGUGAUAAAAAAAGCAAAGAAAACUUUUUGCAUAUAGGUAAUACCCCACCAUCAAACUAGGCACAGUAUCCAAUCAAAGAUUCAAUGUUCUGCAGAAAAAUGACAAAAGAAUGAAAAAAAACUAGAGGCACAAAAAGAUUAAACAAACACAUUGUUGGUAAGACAUUGACCACAAAAUAUAGUACAGAGAAAAAAUUUAAAUCUGUUUGACAAGUGAUUUUGACAUGAUUAGCCAUUAUGAUUUAUAACUGGAUGAAAAAUAUUGUUAGCAUAUAUGCAUUUCAGAAAAAUGCUUGACCAACUUAGUCACAAAUGAAGCAUGCACCUAAAUCCAGGGUGACUAGAACAUAGUGCAUAUCAAGGGCUGUUUGGCACAAUCAGGUCCCUGUGGCCCCUUCAGGAACACCUGGAGAAUUCUAUUUGAAAUUUCAAAAGCAAGAACAAAAUUAUGGCAACUAUCCCUUCAUAUGGAUCAACUGUCUCAGAAAAACCAUAAACAGCACCGUAUCCAAGUUUGCAAAUUCCAAUGAGAAGAAAUGUCCAGUGUUUUAAGAUGAGAAGGUCUACAAUUAAUAGAUGUAUCUUCUAAGAAGAAGCUAGGAGCCGUUUCUGCUUCAGAAAUGUUCAGAGUUUUAAGACGAGAAGGAAAUCAACACUGAAGGUGUUUCACUACUCCCAUCAACCCCAAAACCAACUAGCUAUAGCAUGUGAAAGAACUCCACAUUCACGCAAAAUUAGUCACUGAAAAUAGCUGAGUGCCUUUUACCUAGUAAAAAUGUUUCUUUAAAAAAAAUCCAAUAACUUUAGAAGGUUCCAACACGUAAGACAGGUUUUAUCCACAAAAAUUGCUCUCUUAAAGUCUUGGGUACUUUGUAUCAUCUAAAUCAUUUCCUGACACGAGAACAAGAAGCAUUUGGAUUCUAGGUUGAGCCCAGGAAUAGGCAGGCAUAAGUUCCCCACUUAAAAUGGGAACAUCUUGGAGUGGAGGAUGUGUCCAUUCAGUGAGUGUGAAGCGUUUAUCAGAGUGGCUAUAGAAGGUUGUUGGCCUUGAAUGUCCCAACAGUAGUGUUGCUAUGUAGUGAUGUGUACCAGCUUUACAAGAAUAAAAUGGAAAGUUAAUUAUACCUGCAACGUUCAAGAUCAUCAGUGGAUGCACCAAAAGCGGGGACAAUCUCAUGAAGAGCAUGCAAAAAAUCAUCCAUAGUGACUUUUAUGCUCUCCUCAUCCAAGGGUUUAGUCAAAUCAUCCAUGCUUAUUUGUCUAUUCAAGGCAAAUGAGACAGCACUUUUAACAACACCUUCCAAUUCUGCUCCACUGUAAUUUUUUGUGCGUGCAGCUGCACAUAGAACAUGAAAAAAAUUAAUUAUCAACCAAAUAUAUGUUGUAGCAAUACCCCCAUUCAUACAUCCAAGAAAUCUUAAGAUGUGCAUGCAUAAGCUCAAUCAUAAAAAAUAUCCUAUUUGUUGAACCAUUAAAAGAAGAGAACAAUUACAGAAAUCAGAAGAAAGCACAAAUAGAUGUUUGUCUCAGUUUGAAUGUACAUGUGACUUAAUGGUAAGAACACUAAACUGCUAAAAGAGGGGAACAAAAAACAAAAACUAAGCCAAUUGACUAAACAUACAACAAAAAAAAGAUCAUCUCACCCUAAAUUUUCUCAAUAUUAUGAUUCACAUCAUCCUUAUUGACAAUUACAUCCUGCAUAUUAUGUUCUAUGACAUCCGUCUCCUGCCAACAACACUUGCCAUUCCAAAGAAAAUAGGGUUCUAAACACUAAAAAUAUAAAGCUCAAGCAUCUUGGCAUCCUACUUGUCUUUCCAAUUGGGUUAGAACACUAUCAACCAUGAUAACGACCUUCUCAUAUACCAUAACCCUCAUUUCAUGUGCAUGUGAUCAGUGUUCACAUCUCUCACAAAGCAUUUGCAUGUUCUUUGGCUUUUUACAACAUUCCAACACCAUAACCAGCUUUCAGAUUUUUUUUCCUCCACAAAGCAUUUGAAGUAGAAAAAACAUGCAUGGACAUGAGUCAAUAAAACAUAUAUGAUGCAAAAAUCUGCAGAUUAGCUACCAUAAAUGAGAUAUCUAAAACAUCUACAUGUUCUCCCAUCAGAAACAACCACAAGAUCCUUUAUCGAACUUCUUGAUGAUCCUAACACAAUUCUUAAACACCUUAUCCUCAUUAAAAGUUGUGAUUAGAUAGACAUAAAACUAACAGUAAUCUCAAUGGCCAAGAAUAAUCCAUGUAGCUCAAACCUAGUUCAUAUCUGUGGGUAUCAUGAAGCAUACCUUCAUAAGCCUAUGUACAUAUUACUAACAAAUGUCAUACUUGCUAACAUGAUCAAAAUUUACUCCCAAAAUAAACAUAAAAUACAUAUACAAAACAAAUGCUGGCAGAAUGUGUGAGCAACUAACAAACCAGUAAAGCUGCUAUCUGUCCACAAAACUUUCUUAGAGCAUAAAUGUAAUGUUCCAUGAAAAGUAAAUGAUUUAUAUGAGUUGAAAUAAAUGUAAUGUUCUCCAAAAAGUAAAUGAUUUGUAUAACUUGAACUUUAAGAGCAUUGACAAUCACUUAGAUCUUUUGCAGUCGGUGAUGUCCCCGAGGAAUGGCCAAAGGUAUCAUGUGAUAACUUGGGUAAUUUUAGAGAAAGCAGGUCUAGAUAUUAAACACAACUCUGUUAUUAAGCAGGUCUAGAGAAAGCAGGUCUAGAUAUUAAACAAAUUGAUAUAUUCAGGAAUAAUUUACCACAAUGGAUUUUGUAUUUUAUUUUAAGACGAUGAUAACAGAGAUAGAACUCAAGUGCUAAGGCAGGCUUCAUUCAAUAAAGAAACCAAAAGGACCAAAUUAGGACUACAUACCAAGCUCUUGAAGGCUCACAUCCGCUGCAAGAAAAGAAUUUUCUUUCAUUUUACUAGUAUGUAUUUGGAGAAUUUGUAAGCGACCAUUCUCAUCAGGGAGGUUAAUCUCAACAUGAACCUCCAAGCGUCCAGGCCUAGAAAAUGAGCACAUCAAAUGACAAGGAUAAAGUAGAACUGCAACAUAAAGCAGGAUCAAGUACAUAUGGGUACCAGAAAGAAAUCAACGGAAUGAACUUCAAAAUAUUUUCCAAAAUCAAGCAAUCACAAGAUGAGCAAUGGACCUUAGCAGUGCUUCAUCCAGUAAAUCCUUCCGAUUGGUCAUUCCAAUCAGCAAUACGUUGUUUAAAGAUUCAACACCGUCAAUCUAGAAUGCAAAAACACUAUGUUAGCAUCAAGGUCCUGAGUGUCAUGAUAUUAUGUAACCCUUGGUAAAGUUCACCUUUGUGAGGAGCUGGUUGACAAUGCUGUCAUGAACUCCAGUACCAUCCCUAGUGGACCCUCUCGACUGCAAUUACAAUAUUUAAAAGGUUAGCAACAAAGUCCAUUUCUGGAAAAAAUUUCAAUAUUCAGAAAAAAGUUCAAACAUAUCUUCUAAUAAAAGAUGUAUCUUGAUUAACAAAAAAAAAUGGUGGAUAAAUUCCAAAUUAAAACAUUUUCAAUGAUCCAUCUCAGAUACACUACAAAAGGAGGGCAACAAAAAAAGUUCUAAAAUAAUAGAAGUUCCUUUACAUUUCAACCAAAUUGCCAAUACCACCUAAGAAUUCCACAAAUAAUUAAUACAACACAUAACACCCACAUGAGGGUGCAAUAUAUGUUUUAAUUUUUUCACCACAAUCGGAUGGAAUUGAUCACACUGUUGGACCAAUGAAAAUAAAUGUAUGCAGAAUAUCAGCAGUAGCAUAAGAUGUGUCAGAUGCAAGCAGAACUAUCUAAAAAGUAGAACGAUAUAGAAGCUAAUAAAUGGAAUCACCAAAGGAUGGAAAAAAAUCAUGAUGCUUGGAAAGUGAUGAUAGCAAGAAAGAAAACUUUUUAGAAAAAGUACCAAAUGUAUCUACCUUACAGAUAGCAUCAAUUUCAUCAAAUAUGAUGACAUGCAAGUCACUCUGAUCACCUGGAAAUAAUCACAUGAAUAAUGUUUUGCAAGGGAACCAAAAAAACACUGUAAAUUUAACAAAUCAAAUAAUUAAGAGACAGCUGCGUACCUUGAGUCCUCUGAUCAUUCUCAGCAUCAGCAAACAAGUCUCUCACAUUUUUCUCUGUUUCUCCAACAUAUUUACUUAAGACUUCAGGCCCAUUAACAAUCUAAAGUUAAAGAAAUAUUUUAUAUUUAAGUGGGCAUGUAUUGGACAAUAAACAGAUUAGCAACCAAAAUACACAAUAACUGUUUGAACAAUGGACUAAUAAAUGCAAUGAAGCCUGGAGAAAUAUAUGCUGCUGAUGGUUUCCACAGUAAGAACCAAACCAAACCUUAUUUUCAUUGGUAUAGUAAUUUUUUUGAACAAAACCAAACAACAAAAUCUAAAACUAGAAUUGUUGAUUUUAAUUCUCAGCUUUAUUUAUAAGCAAAAUUUCAAACCUUAUUUUUUUAUAAGGUACAGAUUUUCAUAUCCAGAUUUCAAAAGUAGAUGAUUAUCUUUCUGAUGCUUAGAUCCAGCAAUUGUGAUGUGUCAUUUAACUCAUUCUUGACAAACUACCCUAUUUCUUUGACAAGAUUUCUAGCCUUUAUUCCUUUCCUAGUUUAUAAAUGUGAAAGAUGCAUACAUGUUUAAUAUGCAAAUUUUUAUUAUUGUUCAUAUUAAGUAAAUUUCAUGACUGAUUGUGCCCACUCUUGCAAACUUAGGUCUUUCCUUUUUAUUUAUUUAUUUUCAUUAUGUAUAAUUGAACUCAUGAAUCGAUAAUUGGUACAAAGCAAAGUCACACAAAGCAUGUAUUUCCCUAGCCCAAACGAGUUGCAGGUGGAAACUGGAACAUUUAUAAACUAUCAAUUAAUUUGGCAAAAGAAUAAUAAAAUUGGUCUCCUAAUGUAAAAUACCCAUUUUUCUUUAGACUGCUCACCUGACUACUUGUUUAUAUUUUUAAAGAAAAUUUUUAGAUGAACCCGGUUUGGAAGUUAAAAAGGAAUCCUUGUUAAGGUGCACUUCCGUCACUGCUCUCAUCCUCAAAUCUAUUUUUCUAUCACCUUUCUGAUCUUCCCAUGCAUGUUAUUGACGGCUUUGAGUUGGUAACUAAAUCAUUUGUUGCUAACAUAUUUAAUUUUAUGCAAUACUCGUACCAAAAUCAUGGUAUACCCAAGCAUCCUAACAGAUGCCUACUAGACCCUUGUCCACAACUAGAAGUCCAUCACUGCAUUUGGUACAAGCAUUUGUAAGAACACUAACUUAAGGUGUACAUGUUCUUACAAGUUAUUCAUAGAAAAUCAGCUGGAUGGUUAACUGAUCCAUGACUGACUUGUAUCAAUAAUCCGAGUUGGACAUUAACUAUAGAGUGGUUUACCCCAUAUCUAUAUGAAUACUCCAUCAUAAUUAACCCAAGCAAACUUAUAUGAAUAUCUACUAUUACAUUUCAAAUAGAGAGUUCUUGAUAGUCGUUAGCAAAUAUAGGUAUAGACUUUUUCAUAUAUCAGAUAGAACACAUGAAAAUAAUUCCUAAAGGAAAGAAAUGCUGAAACAUAUUAAGUAUAAGAAGUCAUGCCAACAGAAUCAGAAGAAUGCAUGAAUUGGUUUUGAGCAUAUAAGUCAAACCGAUUAGCCAGAAAAUGAACGGUUUAACCACAAAGUCAAACCUUUGGCUCCCUUCCAUUCAACAGCUUCCCUAUUUGACGAGCCAUAAGUGUCUUGCCGGUACCAGGAGGUCCAUAUAGCAGCAUCCCUUUCACAUGCUUGAUACCCAAUCUGCAGGAUACAGUAGUCAGAAAGGAAUCCAUACUUGACAAGUUUUCUGUAACAAACUCAAAAAUCUAUUCACAGAAAAAUGUUAACGUUACUUGCUAACAACAUGGGAAGGAAAAACUCGAGAAGCAAAUGCCCUUCGAAAAAUUUCUGUAAAUUCAACACUUAGUCCUCCUAUUCCCAGCUUCAGAAGGUUGAACUCUUUAUGACGGAAUAUUUUGCUGCUAGCAGCUUCACGCUGAUUAAUUAUCUGUAUGAAAUACAAUAUAUAUACAUAUCAUUCUCAUGGCAAAUUGUUCGCAUUUACUUAUGGAAAAGAGUGUCAGAGUUAAUCCCUUUCACAAAAUUUGGUAAAAGAUUAAAUCAACGGAAGAUAUCAAAAGAACCUUAAUGCCCGAAUUUGGAGAAGCUUCAAAAACAAAAUAUGUCUCCAUGGAUAUCAUUCCUCUAUCCACGCCUUUGGAAUCAUCUUGUCCCUCAAGCAGAGCUUGACUAAUCGUAAAUAUAUAGUUGGUUCCACAAUAUUCAAAUAAUACCUUUUGACCAGUUGUCAUAAUCUGUGUACGAAUAUCAAAUAGCUUCAAGUUAAAAUUACACAAACCAAAUCCCACAAUGACUUAAGGCAUAAUCAAACAAGCUUGUUUUUGAAACAGGCCGAAGGCCUGAUACAAAUGUGUUAUGAUGAUUCUAAUUACAAAGUUCACAGGCAACACAACAAGGAUAAAAGUAUGCUUGCCCAUAAUUGAUAAUUCCAUUUGAACACCCUGCUACCUGUGAUCAGUUUCGACAUGGAUACUUUUUAUCAAGAACCAUCGUAUACAAAUUUAAUAAUUCAACUCUUCCUUGGGUCUAAAAAAAAGUGGAUAUAUUAGAACAUAUUAUAGAACUUAUUGUACCAAAAGUUCCUUAAUAAAUCUCAUUUAUGUCAUCAAAAAAUCAGCAAUUUUAGGAUGGUUUGACAAUGAAAUUACAAAAUGCUUGCCAGCAAGUGGAUCGAUACAACCAUUUGGGAAAAUUGUAUAGAAAUACUAUGUAAACAUUACAUCAUAUUUCAGUGGCUUCAUAUUUAAGAAUUUGAUCUUGAUUUUUUUAUCUGAAGCACACAGUUCCUAUGACUUUCACAGAGAAGUCUUCAAUAAGCUUUGAAUUGCAGAAGUUGUAUUUGUUGCAGCAAAGAAGAACUCAACACUCAGGUUAAAGAAGAGGAGAAAAAAAACAGAAGAAACACGAAGAAAGAAAGGUAAAAGUUCUGGAAGCCAUGUCAUCGAGUUGCAUGACAAAAGAAUGAUUCCAUAAAAUAUAGGAGGGAUUUCUAAAGUUCACUCUCUAUUUGUCUGUGUAUGUUGCUCUUACAUUUCAUUUCUUUAAAAAAGUAGGUAUAAUACAGUUUUUCUCUCCCUUACUCAAAUUUCUUUUCAGAUUAAUCUCCUUUCCAUGCGUUGAUGCACACACACAUGCACACUCCUAUUCUUCUAGUUCAAUAACCCUCAUUUCGUCCCCUUUACUGGCUAAAGAACAGUAGCUUCCAACUCCUUUUUAAUUUAUUAUUCAUCAAAUCCAAACUACAUUUCUGUCCUUAGUUCAAGUCAAACAGGUCUAAGUCUAUCGUUCUACCACUCGAGUUAGCCUAAAACCACUGCUUUCAAAAAAUGGUCUGCUCAGUCCUCCGCAUCUACAUAAAGACCCUUUAGCCUAAGUGGAUGUUCAUCAUACCACAUUCAAACCCAUCACUCCAGUCCCUUUUUUUUAAAUACAAAACCUCAAAAGAUACCCCUACUGUAUCUUAUAAGGGCCUCUACGCAGCUAGAUCACAAUAAACCAAAAAACAUAGAAACAAUCAAGUUGUUGAGUUCAAGAACUUGAGCAUCACCCAACUAGCUAUGCAACAUGAGCAAGUUGGUCAAACAUCACAUGCAAAAAAAAAAAAAAAAGUUAUAAUCGUAGAAGAUGAUAAUCACUAAAUAUAAGCCAAUUCAGAAUAAAAGUGUUGAUGUCUUACCUGGUCAAUGAAUUUUUUCUGAAGUUGUUGAGCAAGAAGUACAGCAUCCAGCUACAACAUAGAGUUUGCACUUUAAGACAGCAGCAUUCAAGCAUGGGAUUAGAUUAACAAAAGAAUCUCAAGAUAAUCUUACUUGCUCCGUUCUAUUAGUCUUGCCUUUAACAAAAUCCAACUCUAGUGUGAGUAAUGCCAGCUUAAAGUUAUCCGGAGGAACAAAUCUGAAAGGACAUUCAACAAUAAAGGUGAAAAAAUUGAUAACACAACUCAUUAAGCCAUAUCUAUGCAAUUGCUAGCUAAUGUGAAGGAUGCAUACCUGCUAACUGAGAUUUGAUCACCGGAUGAAACUCUUGUAUGACGACGCUGUAUGGCAUUCAAAGCAAUAUGAUCGCUAGGAAUGUUCUGGUGAGCAGUAGUUCUUUAUUAAGGUUGACGUCACACAACAAAUAAUCAUGUGUAAUUGAAUCGGAUCAAUCUAUGUCCGUAAAACAGCACAAGAAGCAAUAAGUUGGUCCAGCAUCAUGAACAUAAGCAGGUGCUUAACACCAUCAUACCUUAUUCAGUUCCACAAUUUAGAUAUUGCAAAUCUUGGAUCAAAUCAACAUUCCAAAAUCAAGAAACCAAAAUCUUGACAGUUGAAGUUUGAACAACUGCAUUGUCGAUUCUUCUUGAUGCGGAGUCACAAGAAUCGUGAGAGAAAGUUGCUAAUCCGGCGAUCAAAUCAACAUCCUAAAACCAAGAAACGAUGUUCUUGAACAUUAAAGAACAAACAAACCCGAUAAUCAUGGAUACUCGAUCUUUCUUGACGAGGAAUCAAAAGAAUCAUGGAUAAAAGAUGCAAACCCGAUAGUUAUAUCUAAUUCUAUAACCAAGAAACCAAUAUCUCGAAAAUUAAGGUACCAACAGCUGCAUUCUCGAUCCUUGUCGAUGAUAAGUCAAAAGAUCUCACUACUAUCUCAAACAAAACAACUCAAAAGACGUCCACGCAAUUGGAUGGACAAAAUCAAGGAUAUCGUAGGGUGAGGACGACGGAAUCUCCAACGAAUAUGAGGACGUGCUUGGAUCCGGGGGUGGCGAACUUGUUCAUGUCCGCGGGGGAGCAGUAGGCGAAGUUGGUCAGGGCAAGGUCCUGGGUCGGCGUGUUCACCACAGUCAUGGAGUCGGCCGCCGACGAGGCGCCGAAUCCGAACCUACCCGCCAUGGCUGAUCGCAGCGGAGCAAGUAUCAGGCGAGUUAGGGUUCCUGACAGGAAUAGCGCAAGAGAGAGGGAGGAAAAGACCUCGGAGGCGAUCAAACGAGGGAAAUGGAAAACGAGGGAGGAGAGAAAAUAGAGGAGACCAUUACUUCGUUCAGAAGAAAUGGUGGUCUGCGCCGUUAUGAUUCGUGCAAGACUCUAUAUUUAUAUACGUACUCUUGGUCUAUAAGAUUCGUGCAAGACGUGAUGAACUCUUGGCACUGGAGAGUCACUAUGGGCCAAAGCGGAGCUUAUCACCCACCACACGCUCUUUAGAUCCAUAUCGCCAUGGGAGGGCGGCCCAUAUUACAGGAACGCUUGGAGCUCGCAAUGAGCUGUACUGCUCCUCGUUAAUGAUCCAAACCCACGCGAGAAGGUUCCACGCACCGCGCCUGCCGCCCUCCACGUGGAUGCCUCGAUGCGUCACAUGGCCCCAUUCGGUUCCUAACGCCAAGGAGCCAUGCCAUGACUGACUGCUACAUGCUCCUAACAGCCUCUCGCCACCGUCCUGGAGAACCCAAGACGGCUGAUCUGAUCAGAGUUUGGAGGAUGCAAAGAACACGUACGGCAAGUGAGGUUUGAUAGUUUGCCAUAGGGACAAGGAGAAUCACCGAGGUACAGCGGGCACGAAACAAGCGGUCUGCUAAAUAUUGUCGGGUUGCGGAUUUAAGCCUCUGAUCGGAUGCAUUUGCGCGGGUGAUUUGUGCGGUUGGCAGUGUGUGCAAACCCGUGAUGUUGAGAGCUUCCCCCCAUCUGGCAGCUACGGGCCGUUAGGACAUCACUCCGAGAUGAAUCCACUGCUUCCCUGGCAAAUGCAGCACGCACCCAUAUUUCCUCCAAUUACUGAUGGAUGAUCAAAAUUAUGAUUUAUUCACCUAACGCUCGGGUCGUAUCGGUAUGGUUAGGUCCCUUCACAUCAGAACUUGUCAUUAUCCACAUGGCAUAGAAUGUAAAAGACAGAUGCAGUAGUUCGAGCUUUGAUCAAAACAGCAGCAAGCUCCAAAUGAUUAGUGCGAGGUCUUGAUCAUCAGGUUUGGGAAUUGCAGAGAACAGCGCAAGCAUCGGCGGGAUGUACUGUGAGAGUGGCGCUGGUGCACAUCGCCAUGUUCUAGGCCAGCGUCGAUUUAUUGCUCCGCUGGAUGAGGUCUCCGACUUUAGAUCGUUGCCGACGUGUUGUCUGCCAUAAUGCGGGCUGCGAUGUUGCCAUCACGAUGGAUAGACACACGUCAUAAAUGUGGCUCGUUUGGGUUGAUGGAUCGACGUGGUUACGUCGAUCAACCAUGCCAUGUUUAAUGCGACUCUGGCAUGGACAAAAGCUUCGCACCUCUCCAUACAUCCUCAUGAAAGCUUACCCACCGUAGAUUUCUCUUAUCACGUGUUGCAACAUAAAAAAAAGCUGUUACUUUUUCGAUAUUGCUAUUUAUGUCGAAAGGAAUGAGUCGCCCCAAAACUGUUAGGUACGAUGGAACGUCUCACUGGUCUAACACAGCGGGCCACAGGGACCCACGAUAAAAGAACGCGUGUGAGAGGGCAGACGUCGUCCGGCGACCUUUUUCCGGGGUGAUUCAGUCCGUCCACUUACGUUACAGAUGGGGGGGGGGGGGAGGAAGUGAGAGGUGAAAACGGCAGAGAAGUGGAAGCGGCGGUGCACGUCCCACAUUGGGUGGCUUGCGUGGUCACCCUUCAAAUGCUCGGGCGGACACCAUGCAUGCACCUCUCGCUGCGUCAUCUGCCCGUAGCUUCGGCCCACCUCCCUAUCUCGACACCCUCCUGGCUCCUUCCUCCCCCUCCCUCUACUAAAGACCUUCCCACCCCCUCUCUUCCUCCUCAUUGCCUCUCUCUCUCUCUCUCUGUGCGUGCCCAAGCACUGGAAUCAUGAUGACGCCCAUGUAAUGUAGUGACAUGGAGUCAUUGUGCUUUGCGACCAUCGUGUAGUUACUUACCACUUCUCCUCUUUGCGCCUUCGCUCUCGGCAUCAUUCACAGAGACGACGGUCCAGCAGAGUUUAGGGUAUCUUCCCAUCCGCCGACCCCUUGCGGACUCCGAGACGUUAGCCUUACCUUCCAAAGCGGUUUGAUGAGUCCUAUGGCCGACCAAAUCAAAUGGGCAUCCUCCGAGUCCGAAACCAGCGCGACAUCCUCCUCCUCCUCCUCCUCCUCGGGUUCGUCGUCGUCGAGGAGGAGCUCGGGCGGGGCCGCCACGGAGCAGCGGAAGCGGGAGCGGGAUAGCAGGCGGCACCCGGUAUACCGCGGGGUGCGGAUGCGGGCGUGGGGGAAGUGGGUGUCCGAGAUCCGGGAGCCCCGCAAGAAGUCGCGCAUUUGGCUCGGCACCUUCGCCACCCCCGAGAUGGCCGCCCGCGCCCACGACGCCGCCGCCCUCUGCGUCAAGGGCCCCUCUGCCGCCGCCGCCAUCCUCAACUUCCCGAACCUCGCCGGCACGCUGCCCCGCCCCGCCUCCCUCUCCCCGCGCGACGUGCGGGAGGCCGCCGCACGGGCGGCCGCCAUGGAUCCAGCAAGCCCAGGAAGCGCCGCCUCCUCCCCGUCGCCGUCGUCCUCACCGGAGGAGAAGCUUGCCGCGGCGCCGACGGAUGAGCUGGGCGAGAUAGUGGAGCUCCCGCGGCUCGGAGAGGAACUGUUCGACUCUGCUGCGCUAGAGGGCGACUUCAUCUUCCAUGACACAGAGGACCUAUGGACCUACCCGCAGCCAUGGGCGGAGAGCAAAGGAGACCACGAGUUCUUCCCUGAUCCAAUAUGGUCGCAGGAAGUCAACGCAUCCACUGGCUUGGAAGCUCCCUUCUGGGACUUUUCAUGAACUCGAAACACACACACACACAUGGUUCCUUCUCCUCCACCUCUCUCCAGUCACUGUACAUUCGUUGGUGAGCCUGCAAACAACUCUGCAAGAUGAGGAAGCGAUUCUAUUGGAGGAGACAGCGAUCAACGGUCUCCUGUUGUCAUUCUACGAAUAAUUGUAGACGCACUGCAAUGGCUGAACGUAAAAUGCAUACAAGCCAUCUUCUCCUUGCAUUCAAUUAAAACCAUGUACUUCAUCGGUUGAUCUUUCCUGUACAUCAUUAGCAUUCACAAUGCAGUAUGAUGUCUUCCUGUGUGCAUAUAAAAGUUUCUGCUCCAAUGGGUGCCAUUAUUUCUCAUAUUUACUGCUGCUUUCCUUCAAUUUUGGCUUGUUUGCCAAUUCUCAGAGCUUGAGGUCUUUAUGUACACACACACACACACACACACACACACACACACACACACACACACACACACACACAUAUAUAUAUAUAUAUAUAUAUAUAAUAACCUAAGUCGCAAGAAUUGCUAUCUUAUGUUACAUUCCCUUCACAAAUUCACAUAAACUUAUGUUUGGAUGAUUGAAGUGUUACUCAGGGAUUGGCAUCGAGGGACAUCAGGUUCAUGCUCCUUCUCCCUGCAUUUAAUGGCUACCAAAUUUGUAGUGCUCAUCAUCUGCAUGAGAUAACAAGCAUGAAACUGCAUUCCAAAAGCAAUCGACAGGUGGAAUAAGGUCGCAGUGGGGAAACAAUGUGGUUAGGGUCUCAAUUGAAUAAUUGUCUCCAUAAAGUCUGCUGUCUAAAUUGUACGCUAAAUGAUGCACAACGUGACAAAAACAAAUCUCUAUUGAAUUUAAUAUGCACCAAUUCGAACUACUUUUUUUGUUUGGCAUCAAAUGCUGUGAAGUAAUUCCUUGAAAUAACGAGAAAAUUAUAGUCGAUCCUAAACCAUUGGGAUAUUACAACUUUUUCUAUUGAUGCCACAAAGAAUUUUGUGUUCAUCAUCAGUAACCUAACUUCCCUCUCACUGAUUUAUAGAUGAGAACAAUUAUCAAGUAAUUGGCUGUUUAUAUUUAUUAGAGAAACCUUUAAAGUUAUUGGCUAUUAUUUAUAGUCAUGCACAAAUUAUCAAGUUAAUGGACAAGUGUUAAAGCUAAGUCCAACUUCUUUUUAUUUUUCCAAAAAUAUAUAAAACUCGGAGCACAGAAUAAAUCAUAGUUCUUGAGAUCAAAUCUGUCUCCAGAUAAUAUAAUUUUCAGAAGGUCUAGUCUGAUUAAUUAACCAAUGAGCAUUACCAUUAUCCUACGACAUGCAUGAAUAAAUUUACAAUCGAUGAACAUAAUAAAAAUUGACUUGUACACCAAUUUACAUAACUAAUUUCUAUUCGAGAAAAGAAGAAAACAAAGCAGCAAUAGAUUCCUUAGCCUACCAUCUUUCCUUGGCACCUAUACGUUCUCCGAAAAAAAGAAAUAUACAGCUGCAAUCCAAUGCACAAAGCAAAGACAAACCAAUUUGAUAAGGUGAAGAUAAAAGGCUUUACUCAAUCUUCUUACUACUUCUUUUUGGUUCUUCUCUUGGGGAAUGUAGGGGUUGUGUUAUAUGGUCCACAUGGAUUCAAAAGACAAAUAUAGCUAGGAACUCUAAAUUUGAAGCCUCAUUUAACACGCAUAUUAAUGUGGCAAACUUAGGUGCCAUCUUUUAAUUGAUGAUGGGUGCCAAAUGAAAAUACAUAUUACCAAUUAUAUCUACCAAUUGCAUAUAUAUAUAUAUAUAUAUAUAUAUUCAGCAGUGACUUACCAUAUCAAUUAUUGCUAAAAAAAGGGGAGGUUUAGAGAAGUUUGGAGUGGGUUACAGCAUGACGCUGGCAAAGCACGCUUUUUGCAGCUGGAUGGCAUCCGCAACAUGCUUUGUCUGGUCAAGACAAUGACGUUGACUACAGUUCAGAUUUCAAAAUGUUCCCUCCGCCCAAUGAUUGCCGACUAUGAUAUGAUAUUGUUCCCUUCUUCAUCAAAAUUGAUCAAACUCAAUCCUAUCGACCAACUGGAUCAGAUCGACAUUAUCGUCCAAUGUAAUAUUAACAUUACCUAUCCCAAAUCAGCAAUCAUACUCGUAGAUGAAUAGCAUAAAGUCCUGCGCACCAGGUGCCUACCACAGCAGAUGUGGUUCGCCAAACAUACCUCGUAGACCAAUUUAUACAAACAGGUGGAGGGCAGUUGGAAAGCCCAGAGUUGGACUGUCCCACUGCUCCCCGUAGCGGCACAGUAGAAAGGAAAGGACCAUAAAGAUGGGUGUCGACGACGGUGCAUCGGCUUUUUGUGACUCGGGCUGUAUCGCAUCUUCCACGGAUCUGCUAAGUUCCAAAAGCCUCCGUCCGUAGUCCGUGCUCCUUCCGUCGUCCUUUGGUCUUUUGCACCGAGACAUAGCGCCCACUGUAACCCCACUGGCUCAUCGGAGCCCGUAGAGACGCUGCGAUGUUAGGCAGUGGCGUAAGCAAGCAAGGGAAGACUGCUGCGGCCUCGCCGAUCGACCCAACUUUGUGUGCCUGCCACAUGGAAGAGAGCUUCAUGGCAUGUGCUUAACCUGCAGCCAACUUAUGUUGCUCUUCUGUUGCUCAAGUCACAUUUCGGUGCAAUAGCCAGCCACGCACAGACAGAAACGAUUCAGCAGUGGUUGUCUUUGUCGAUCCAUUCUCUCGUUCAAGUUUAACUACGAUCUGCAUGCUGCAAAUGGCACAUCAUGCAAUCUUCUCUCUCUCUCUCUCACUUAUAAUUAGUAGACGUGAUCCAUUUAAUGAUAUUAGAUUUUGGAUCCGAUGCAUCCAAAUAUCGUCGUCUUGUUUUCCUCCAUGGCUACACGACAUGACACCAUGCAGAAAGGCCAAAACUCAACAGAUCUGUAGCUUCUCAUCUGCAACAAAAGACAAGGAAGCCAACACCAGCAGUCGGAAGGAAGAGCUGUUAUCUAAGAUGCUUUGAUGCUUGAUGACCCGAGCGAAUCGACACAUCCAGACAUGAAAUCCUCGCAAGAAGACAAGAUGAAGCGUCCCCAUUGUCGUAUUUUUUAUGAUCUCAAAGCUCAUAGAAUAAUGAACUGAUGAUGCACGUACAGAGCUUCACCGAACUCCGAUCACCAAGAAGACAAAGGACGUCAAUUGGUGCAAAAUAAUAAUAAUAAUAAUAAUAAUAAUAAUAAUAAUAAUAAUAAUAAUAAUAAUAAUAAUAAUAAUAAAAGAGUCCGGAAGUCCUUUUGAAACGACGGAAUGCGAUAUAUACCUUACAACCCAUGCCAACAACAAAAUACCAGACGAAAAAUCUCAUGUUAGAGUGCAGGUUGCUGUCCUCGAUCGGCCAUAUCUCCCAAGAAUCUAAUCACAGUGAGGGAACUGGGAAGAAGAAUAGGAUUCUCAUUACAGGUUACGUGGAACCUGACAAAACUCCUCCUCGUUGCACAAGUAACUCCGUAUCAUUGCUCAUCUCACAGGAUUUAGAAUAGCUAUAAAACACACAGGUGACUGUUGAGCACUGCGCCAUGGUACCGCGAGAACACUAUUUUAAUCGACCGCAGAAGGCCGGGAGAGUCACUUGAAAUCACAUCACAGACGGUAUCAUAAUAAGAUUUGACAGAGUUAGUAGUAGAAAACACAAUGUUGUGUCUCUCACAUACACAAUCUUUCUCCCAGCAAUAGACUGUCAUCACACACAGCAAUUCUUAGUUUUCCCUACCUAUCUUUUUCAAUAUUUUAUAAUUAGACUUGUAUAUAGAACGAAGACUCGGCAAAAAGGUGGUGGUUUGGUCAGUGUCAGCUCGGUAGGCAUGGUGGGUGCGACGUACGACGGCCUGUUAUCCUUCUACCAUCAAGAGCGGGAGGUUGUCGAUGCUCUGUGAAGCCAGCCUGACGCGGUGCCCUCCGCUUUAGGAUCCUAUGAGACUUAGGCCUUCGCCAAGAUCACAUAGAACAUCUGCCUGACUUAGAAUGGGCGAGCCGAGUAAUGUGCGGCCGCACCCAACCUACUCGAGCACAACAUGCCAUUCCACAACCGAUCGCCCCCGCUCGGGUUACAAGCCAACGCUAACGGGCUCGGCGAUCGAGGCGCUUUCACAGCAUCAUAUCAGGCCAAACAAUUUGUCAAAACAAGUGAUGUGGGACCAAGAAUGUUGUAACUGUUAGUGUAAACAACUUUAUGUCGUGUCCUCGAGCCGACGCGGUUUGGUUGGGGGUCCGAAUGACGAGGAUCUUGCGCGGCGUCCCUCGAGAUCUCCCAGUGGCCGAUUACGGUGGUCCGGUCGGGACGUCGCGUCGGGAGGAAAGCUUUGCCGUAGCGCCGGGAAGAGGCGACCCCGUUCUUGCACCUGCACACAGGUCGGGUCGGAAGCUCGGCCCGACCCCUCCGACGAUCAAGUUAGUGGAUAUGGAGGGGGUUUUAGGUGAAUAAGUGCUCUCUUUUUCUCCUCCCUUUUCGUUUAGAACUCGGUGGUAUUUAUAGGUGAGUUUAGUGUUACCUGAUGUGUCUGCCCGCAGGAGCAGAAUCGUACCUCUAAUGGCGUCUGACAUUGCCGUUGGCAUUGCGUGGAGAACCGAACUGCCGCAGGGCAUGGGUGAGCCUCGAUCGCCGUUCUCCUCUGCCUUGGCCAAGCAUGUUGGGUCAGACAACGAUGAAGUCGUUGUCUGGGAGCGGGUGACGUCAGCGCACAUCGCGUCAGCAUUACUGCCCUAUUUGGGGUAGAGUGUCGUCCAGACAUGGCUGACGUCGUGACGCGUCAUGUCGCCAUUAUUAUCCUCAUCAGUAACCACUGAUGCUUCUCCUUAGCGCGCACCAAAUGCUUUGGAUGCUGCUGUAACUAACUGUGCGCCUAGUACGUUUUGGAAGACACGCGAAUUGAACUCCACUGGAUUGUACUCCGCCCUGAAUGAUACAAACCCAAAUGCUAGAGAUUUUAAUCUCUGAAAUUAUUAGCAUCGAGUUGAAAUUUUGUCAUAUAUAUACAAGUUGAAAUUUCUAUCAGAAUUGAGUAUCGAUCGAAGGCCUCUCAUAUAUGUUGCUUUUUUAAUUUUAUUUUUUCCUUUUACAAUUCUUUCUUAUAUAGUUCAUGCUAGUUGAAUAUUAAGAAAACAACAGAAACAAUAAUAAUAAUUAUUAUUAACUAUCUAUGUAUAUUAGAUAGUUGAAAAGAUACACUAAAAUCUCAUAUUCAAGAGAUAUGAACUUGAAUAACCAAACGGUAUAUGAGAAUACAUAAUAUUAAGAAGAUUACCUUAAGAGAUCUAUACAAAAUCUAAAAAACAAACAUAAAUAGUGCAAAUCAAUGAGUGCAUAAAGACGAUGUUUACAACUCUCAAAUUUAUUAUCAAUGAAGUAAAAUUGUAUUAUAAGCAUCAUAAAAAAAAAUCAUAGAGGGCAUGUGUCCCUAGUUUAUUUAAGGGUGAGGGAUAGGAUGAUAGCUUAAACUUGUAUAAAGAAAAAAAACUAAAAACAUCUUAUGAUAUAAUAAAAACUAAAAUCACCAUAGGUUUAGAUGAUUAUACCAUUAAAACAUAUAUGAAUAUUUGGGAUCAUUCCACUUACCAAAAAAGGUGGUGGUUUGAUAGGCGUUAACCCUGUGGGUACGGUGAGUGCGGCGUACACCGGCCUGUUAUCCCUCCACCGUCAAGAGCGGGAGGUGGUCGCUGCUCUGUGAAGCCAGCCUGACGCGGUGUCCUCCGCUUUAGGAUCCUAAGAAGCUCGAGCCUUCGCCCGGGCCGCACGGCUCAGCUGCCUGACUUGGAACGGACAAGCCGAGUAUAGUACGGUCGCACCCAACCCAGUCGAGUUAAACACACCAUCCCACCGCCUCAAGGCUCCCGCUCGGGUUACAAGCCCACGCUACCGGGCUCGGCGAUCGAGGCGCUUUCGCAGCAGAAUAUAACGUCUUUGAUUCUUUUAGAAUUGGCGAUGUGGGACUAAGAAUUGUGCCAACCCGCCACCGAUUCAUCCACCAGCAAAAUGCUUUGGAGGAUAACACAAACUGCAAGUGCCCCAAGAGAAUUGGAUUGCGCACGAACAGCUUCUUUCUACUCCAACGCCCCGAAUGAUGCAUUCAUGGCCAAACUGUGUUGUUCAUGGAUGCAGAUCGAAAAGCGCUAAGUAAUCCCCAAAGGUAAGAAUACGUUUGAUUGUCUUACGAUACAACCUUACCCUAUUAGAAAUUUAAUCUCAUAAUCUAAUAAUACUAAAAGAACAAAAAAGAGAAUCCAAUUACAGAGAAAAGGAAUGAUAAAAAAGUGGGGUCUGAUCGAUGUUAGCUUGCCGAGCAUGGUAAGGUGUGGCUUCGACCAGUCUGCCAUCCCUUCCACUGUCGAGAGCGGGAGGUACUCGUUUCUUUGUUAGGAUGCGUAUGACUCGAGUCUUCGCCUGGAGUCACAUUGCUCAAUUUCUUGACUCAAAAUGGGCAAGUCGGGGUUGGGUGGGUCAAACCUAACCCAAUCAAGCACAACACAUCAUUCCACCUCCUUCAUGCCCUCACUCAUGUGACAAGCCUGUGCUACGAGGCUCGACAAUUACAAGUAUUUCACAGAGUAAUAUAAAGGCAUAAAAAUAGGUAAAAACUAGCAAUGUGGGACGAAGAAUAGUGCGACCACUUUCCCCUCCUCCCUUUGCAGAGAGAUUCACGAACCAAAUGCUUUCGAGAGGGAACAUAGGCUUGGAUGGUGUAUUUGUCCACCUGUUUUUAUUUUGGAGAAAGAAUUCAACUGCAUUGUAAACGUAAAACUCCUUCCUACUCCCCUCCUCAAUGAUAUAUAAAUAUUUAGAAAAAAACUUUAGUUUUCAAAAAUUCUCCAUCUCAACUUUUAAAAAUAUAAACAAAGUACCUAUUUCGUGCAUUAAAACAUCGUUUUAUCUCUACUUUUGUCGGAUCCAUUAUUACCUCAACCCUAUAUCAAUGCUCUAACUCUUUUCCCCUUUGCUAAGAACAACAAUAGAGUAGGGGGUCACGAAUCCUUGGUACUUUGUGUCUUCACACACGAGUUGACUUACGCACUUAGCCAUGCUUUUAUCUUGAACAGUCAUCCAUUACCCACAGCAUUGUUGAUCGCCUUCAUGAGUGGGCCCAGCCAAACUCUUUCCCCGCCUAUGAUCGAUGACGAGGGGUGCUUAUGGGCGAUUGCGAGGGUACACAGUAUGCCUCCCCUCCUUCCUCACCCACGAACAAUGAUGAGUGAAGGCAUAGGGGUCGUGGCCCUUGGUUCUUCAUUUGCAAUCGAUAACGAUAGAGUUCAAAUAUAUAUUGUAUAGCUUAAUAUUUUCAAAGUUACGAUCGCCUAAUAUUUUUUAAGAAUAUACAUAUUUAGAAUUUUUUUAAAUCUAAGAUCUAUAUAAUAUUUAUUUAUUUUUAAUUAGUUUAGUCCUUCUAUUCAAAGAUACGAACUUGAAUAAUCGAUGAUAAAAUAAGACAUAAUAUCAUGAAAAAUAAAAAAAUAUUUUUUUAGAAAAAUUAGAAAACCAUAUUAAUUAGUAAAAGCUGAAAAAAAAUAUUAGCAUCACCAUGGGCUAAGGAGUUACAAAUCCUAUGAAAAAUCAAUUUAAACUAAGCUAUGUUGAAAUUGCAUAGUUGAUCCUUUCUAAUCCCACGUCAUUGGGUUUUAGAGGAUAAUGUGAUGGGACAUACCAUGGUACUUCAGCAAAGCGGAGCUUUCUUUCUAUCAUUUAAUAGUCCUAUGCGUUGUAUCUUACUAUUAUUUUUAAUGCGAAAAAGUGGUGGUUUGGUCAGUGUAAGCCCGAUGGGUAUGGUGGGGGCGGCGUGCAUCGGCCUGUUAUGCUUCCACCGUCAAGAGAGGGAGGUUAUCGCUGCUCUGUGAAGCCAGCCUGACGCGGUGUCCUCCGCUUUAGAAUCGCAUGUGACUCAGGCCUACGCCAGGACCGCACUGCGAAGCUGCCUGACUUGGAACGGGCAAGCCAAGUCUGGAAAUCACCGGACCCAACCCAAUAGAGCUGAACACAACAUCCCACCACAUCCUUGCCCCCACUCGGGUUACAAGCCUGCGUUACUGGGCUCGGCGAUCGAGGGCCUUCCGCAGCCUCAUAUAACUUUUUGCGAGACUCUAAAUAUUGGCGAUGUGGGACUAAGAGCACUUCCUCCGCUCCCUCCUUUCCCUUUCCGAAAAUUCAUGCACCGCGUGCUUUCUGAGAGAACCCGAAUUGCACCCAAACUUUCGAUCAUGGUUCUUACCACCUUUUCAUCACCUAAAACUAUUUCAUCGGCAAAGAGGCCAUUUGAAUAAGGUCACUAUUCAAAAGCUUAAGAAUAAGGUUACUAUUUAAAUGCUCGAGUUUUUAGAAAAUAAUAAAGUAGAAGAUAUCAAUAGAAUUGUGUUAAUCAUCACCUCUUUACUCUAACGUUUAUCAUCUUUAUAAAAAUUAUCAAAAGAUAAAAGGUGCUUCAUCUCCUUCUCUUUGAAGUUUAUUUUUAGGUUGCCCUUCGUCCUUGUACAUUUUUCAAUGAUAAAUCAUAUAUAAGAUUUAUGACCCAAUGAGCUAUCUCCUUUCAAGAUGAGUCUAUCAAUAUUAAUAUCAAUUUGUCUCUCUGUGACUCCUGAGGUCGAGGUAAGUGUUCUUGGUGCUUAAGGAUGAAUCGCGCAAGAUAAAUCUGAUGUAUGAAUUCUUCAAUAUCCUUUUUCAAGUCUCGAUAUUCAUUUGUGUCAUGGACGUAAUUCAGAUAGAACCGAUAAUAUUUAGAUCCGUCUUUUUUUGCCAAUGAAGUAUUCAUCGAGUGAGAGUCUUUUAAGAGUCUCUUUCCUUUUAUCGGUAGAAAAAAACUUUAAUUCUAAGCAUAUUCAAGGGGGUUAGCUCAGACCUUGGGCGAGGUAACUCAAGUCGUUCGUUCUUCCUCUAUUGUGAUGACCUCGGGGUCGGGGUGGACUAUAGUUGCUCUUACUUCGACCUCUUGUGCGGCUGACUCUUUACGCUUACCAGAUAUUAUUAUCCUGAUGGUAAUAUAUUGAUUGACUCUUUGAAGUGCCUGUAGUAUUGUCGCCGAUGACCUCUCCACUAACGACGAGAAGAGAUGAGAGGACUUGAGACUCAUCAUGAAGGUUUGUAUCAAGAGUGACGAACGGAUAUACCACGCUUUGGAUUUUAUUAAUGAAACUAAGUGAUGAAGUUUGUAAGAAUUUCCUUCAAUUGCAUGAAUACGAGAAGCAUUGACAUUGCUAGCCUCGGGUGCACAUUCCCGAUGAAGUGAAAUUCAAACUUCCUCGUGAACUAGGUAAUGAAACUGAUGGAGAGUGGCUUCAGAUAUAAGUAUCAUUCUCGUGUUAGGUCUCUUAAUAUAGUCGAGAAUGUGUGACACAUCAAGGCAUCCGAAGUGUCAUACAAUAAUAUUUAGGCAUGGAAAGUUAUAAUGUGCUCCAUUGGGUUAGCAUUGCCAUCGAAUGCCUCCAACGACGGUGGUGGAAGAUUGUUAGAAUCGAUUCUUCCUAAAUUUUCUAGAUAAAUGAUGACCGACUCGAGGUGGAGUUAACCAAUGCUUCCCUUUUGGAUUAUUAAAAUUUUUAUCAUAUCUCCUUCAAACGAUGAUCCAUCUAUCAUAGUUGGAUUUGCAAGGAAUCCUUCAUCAAAUUCGUCGAUCUAGUCUCUGAUUUAAGCAUGAUAGAAUCGUGAUAUGGAAUGCUAAAUUUCAUGAUUAUGGAGCGAAGUGCUCUCUCGGCCAUGAUUCGAUAGGUUUUGGGUACUUUUAGGAUGUAACACUAUGUUGGAUGGGGGAAAGUUGAUGGGUGCUAGUGGUGGGUGAGCCAGUGACAACAACUGAGUUAGUGGCGUUGUCUAUUAAGCUAACUAGGGUAAAUGUUAGAGAUUUUAAUAUAUAAAAGAAGUUUUAUAUUUUAAUAUAUAGAAUAUGCAUACUUGCAAGGCAUCUUAUGUUUGUCAAUUGUUGUCACCCCUUUUUUCUUAUUUAAGAUCCCUUCUGAUUUUUUUAAUCAUAAUUAUAUUUUUACUGUUUUUUAAUAUUUAAUUCCUUCCAUCGAAAGAAAUGAACUUGAAUAACGAGAUGAUAUAAUAAAAGACACAAUAUCAACAAAAAUUUCUCAAGACCUACAUAAAGAAAAAACAAUUCUUUGUAAAAAGAGAAAAAGCUAUAUUAAUUAGCAAAAACUAAAAAAAAACGAAGAGCCGUUAGUAGCCUCCGAGGAAGAACAAAAAGUGGGUCAGCCUAUAAAAGUUGGCGUUGCCAUGGGGCUAAGGAGUUACAAAACCUAUCAACAACCAAUCCAAACAAACCAUGCAAAUCAACAACUAUACAAAGAUGAAUGAUGAUCUUAUUAAAUAUUAAACUUAAUAUUUAUGAAGCAAAAUGAAUGUGCUUGUCACAAUAAAAUCAUAAGAGUUCACGAGUGCUUAAGUUUUUUUUACGGCUAGAAUAAUGGAAUAGAUAAAACUUUGGUCGAGCUUACGAACAUAAAAAACGAAAAAAAAAUUAAAAUUUUGGUUAUGUAAAAGCUCAAUAAGAGUUCAAAAUUGGUUAAACUAAUCAGUGUUGCCCAUUUGUGACUGACAUCCACACGAGAUAGCCGAUUAGUUAUUUUUUAUUACUGGAAUAACGUGCAUCUCGACACUGCACAUUGACAAAGCCGAGCGCAUACCUUCCAUUGUCAAAAUCAACUAUGCUAAUGAUCAUGUUAGUGCGAUGGGUUCACUCUGUCAUUUGCCUACGCAUACAAUAUAUACUUUAGAAAACACAGAUAUAUUGAAAUUGCAUAGUUCGUCGUGAUCCUUUCUAAUCCCACACCAUGGGCCUUUAGCGGAUGAUGAGAUGGGACAUACUUCGGUAUCUCAGUAAAGUCAGAGCUCAUUCCUUAAAGGUUUUAUUAUAUUAAUUAUUGAGAGAUUAUAGAUUUUCUUUUAUUUUUUUUUGUUUUUAAUACAUCGCUCGUAGUAGUCUUAUGAAAGAUAAAAAGAGAAGAGAAUACGACUACAGUAGUAGCGACAACUAUAGCUUCAUCGCUACCACUAUGGUGAUUGUUGUAGCUUGUUGUGAUUGUAGCAUUAUCGUUGCUUAGGGCAACUACAACAAUGUCGUUGCGGCAUUUGUUGGCCAUGGCUGUUGAUAAGUCGCAUGCGAAGAGCUAUGCAACCACGAGCGAUGCAGGCGACGAAUGACCAGUGCACCAUCAACAAGACCUGCAAGUGUGGGCGUAGUGGGAUGCGACGACGACAACAACAUGAGAAUUUGAUUUUUUUUAAAGCACAUUUUUGUACCUCGAAUGCAUCUUGAUAUAAGAAAAUCAUAUCUCCUAAGGGCUCUUCACUGAUUUAAUCACCCGAGGAGAAGCACAAGUAAAAUUCUCCUACAUCAUUAGAAUCCAUGAAGUGAUAUAUAACACGAAUUACGAUCAGACCUAAACAAAAGAGGAAUCUCUCGAGCGACAUAACAAAAAUGAAUCCCAUAUUUGCUCUUUACAAUCAAUCUUUUGGCAUUCACUAAAAGUUAGACUAAUUUAGUUGAUAAAAAUCUUCGUUGUAUUUUUUAAAUAUUAUUAUAAAAAUGAAUCCCAUAUUUGCUCUUUACAAUCAAUCUUUUGGCAUUCACUAAAAGUUAGACUAAUUUAGUUGAUAAAAAUUUUCGUUGUAUUUUCUAAAUAUUAUUAUCAGUGUUGUCCCUCUUGAGAUAAAAAAAAGAAAUCGGUGUGCAAAAAGUGGUGGUCUGGUCAGUGUUAGCCCGAUAGGUACGGCGGGUGUGGCGUGCACCGGCCUGUUAUCCUUCCACCGUCAAGAGCGGGAGGUUAUCGCUGCUCUGUGAAACCAGCCUGACGCGGUGUCCUCCGCUUUAGGAUCCCAGAUAGCUCGGGCCUUCGUUCGAGCCACAUAGCUCAGCUGCCUGACUUGGAACGGGCAAGCCAAGUCUAGCACGACCGCACCCAACCUAUUCGGGCUGAACACAACAUUCCACCACCUUAUUGCCCCCACUAGGGUUACAAGCCGGCGUUACCGGGCUCGGCGAUCGAGGCGCUUCCACAACUUCAUAUAGCCUGUCAGUGAAUCCUAAAAAUUGGCGAUGUGGGACUAAAAACGCUCCCUCCUUUUUCCUUUCCGAACAUUCGUGCACCGCAUGCUUUCCAGGAGAAACCCGAAUUGCAUCUAAAGUUUCGAUCAUGGUUCCCCACCACCUAAAACCAUUCCAUCCCCUUCGAACAGACCAACAGAAGAUGCCCUGCAGACCCCUCCAGAUUACCCGACUCCUAAUCUUGAAACCUCGAAACCCAAUGCUCUCCUGCAUCGGGGAUUCAACAUGUUUCGAGCUAAAUUUCUCCUACAUCAGCUGACCGCAAUGCUGUAACUUUGGUGAUGAUGAAGAGGUGUAAGCUGAUAAAUGCUAUAACAAUGCCCGAAUACGUUGUCGGCCUCGUUGCAGAAGAGGAUCGACUUUUAGAUUGUGAAUCUGUGUCUUUGAACAUAGAUGCGCUAGCAUGUAUAUAAACCAUUACUUCUUAAUUCGAUGACAUUAAUAAAUAUAAUUGAUACGUCAUAUUUUGGCCUCGAAGACAUAUCAGGUCAGAAUCCAUACUAAGGCACUGCUUGACACGUCACAUCUUGGGAACCACAAGACACGCCAAGUCAGAAUCCAUACUAAGGCACUGCUCGGCAUGUCACGCCUCAGGAACCCCGAGACGGCGCCGCCCCCAAGACACGCCAAGUCAGAAUCUGUACUAAGGCACUGCUCGGCACGUCUACCAUGCCAAACCUCGUACGACUGACCCACGUACAAUAAUAUAAAGACCUCUGGCCGGCAUCUGGCUAGGAGGGGAAAAAAGGUGGUAAAAUCAAUUGAUCACUCUACUGACUUGUUCGUCAGAGGGUUCUCGUCGGGAAUCACCCAACGAGGGCCAUUUUUGAAGGAAAAUGCAGCCACCUCACGAAGACGAGCUACCAACCACCCGAGAAUCCCCAUCCAGUGCACGAAGGAGAGCAGCCAAUCGGUCCAUAUCCUAAACAAUGCCAACCAGUACUCCUUCUCGAGGGCUUGACCACCUCACGAAGAUGAGCUGCCAACCACCUCAGAAAAAGAGAGACGUAGCUCGACAUACACGACGCUCGGAUCGGCACACCAAGGAACACUGAUCAACACCCCAUUGCAAGGGCCCGAUAGACCUCGAUAUCCAACUCAACCGAUAGAAGACUCCCGACAUCGACCCGUAGACCAGGCUGUGCUAACUCACAAGCCACAGCACAUUUGUUUACUAACAUUUUGACGCUAGAAGGAGGGCAUGUCGCAAGAGCAACAGAUAGGGGUCCUCCCCGAGGGAGAACCACCGACCGACCUCCCUUUUGUUAAACCAAAAAGUCAGGCCUUCCCCACCCCCGGAGACAGGAGGAUCCCGGCUUCGAUGCUAGAUCGCUACUGUCGUCUGUUCAACGACCCGGGAUUGUCACCCCCGAGGCUCACCAUAGGGCCCUCGGUCGUGACACCCGAGGCAUUCCUUAGCCUAACCAAGCAAGUACAGGCCAUGGCGGGCAUGAUGUAGACGCUCGCUCCAAUCAUUCCUCAGAUCGUGCGGCUAGCGACGCCCCCGACCGACCCGUCCCAACAGCGACCGAACAGGGAGCAGGUCGGGACUGGAGAAGCCCAAGAGCAAGCAACGGACUCGAGAGGUCCGCCCGAGUAGAGCAUACUCGCACCCUGCCGAAUCACACCGCUCCACUCCGAGCCCGACACCAUAUCGUCCGACUCGGUGGAUGACUCGUUCAGGAUCCAGUUGUCUCGGAUCAACCAACGCUUGGAUGAGUUCCAGCGCGAGUUCCAGAAAUCGCGAUGCAAGUCGAAUGAAGGCGGCUCGGGCGAAUCGCCUUUCACUCAGGAAAUACAUGACAAGCCUGUACCACUCGACUUUAGGUUGCCCACAUUAGAGAUGUACGACGGCGGCUCUGACCCCGCAGAGCAUGUCGUCAUGUUUCGGGCUCAGCUAUGGCACCUCCAAUGCAUUGAUGUGUCGGGAAUUCCCGACCACCUUCAGGGGCCAGCACGAGCGUGAUUCAACCGGCUGCGCCAGUCCUCAGUCUCAUCCUUCGACCAGCUCACAAGGGAGUUCGAGCAAAACUUCCUCACCAACGUGCAACCCAAGCCUUCUAUCGCUACACUGCUGGCGUUAUCUCAACACGAGGAUGAGUCGCUCUCUCAGUUCGUGGCACAUUUAGCCACCGAGAUCUAUGAAUUUUCGGACGCUCAUCUCUCUCUAAUAAUGCAGGUGUUUCUGAUGGGCUUGAAACCUUCAAGGUUCUUUUGGUCACUAAUCGAGAAGCCUCCAGUAACCAUCCCCGAGAUGCUCCAAUGCGUCAACCAGUACAUCGCCGCCAAAGCUCUGGUGGUGGGAAAGUGCAUGGACAGCAAGAGGCCAAGGGCGAAACAAUCCCGGGGAACGACUUCCGUAGCCCCAGUGCAACCCCGCUAGAGGCUUGACUGACAAGAGCUACUGCUCCUGAGGCCCCCGCCUCUCCCUCUGAGCAUGUUCCACCAGGACUAUGACCACGGCACGGAAGAUUGCUGUGACCUCCAGAAUCAAAUCGAGGACUUGAUCCGAAAAGGUUAUCUCAAGUGCUAUGUCAAGGAAACCCGAGAAGCAACUCCAUGUCCUAGGGGACCCUUCGAAAGACGCCUCAUCAUCCAAAAUAUCAUGUCGAAAAGCCACUCGCGACAAGAGGUCCACAAGCUCGCCAGAUCGGUUCCCGACCUGCGACUCGCCGACCCAUCUCUUGCCUGAGCCGCUCUAGAUCGGUUCCCGACCUGUGCCUUGCCGGCCCAGCUUUUGCCCAAGUUGCUCCAGAUCAGUUCUCGACCUGCAGCUCGCCAGCCCAGCUCUUGCCCGAGUUGCUCUAUAUCGAUUCCCGACCCGCGGCUCGCCGGCCGAGCAUUUGUCCGAGCCGCUCCAGAUUGGUUCCCGACCUAUGGCUCACCGGCCCAGCUCUCAUUCGAGUCGCCCCAAAUCGGUUCCCGACCUGCAGCUCGCCGGCCCAGCUCUUGCCCGAGCCGCUCCAGAUCGGUUCCCGUCCUGCGGCCCGUUGGCCCAGCUCUUACCCAAGUCGCUCAAGAUUAGUUCUCGACCUCAGGCUCGCCGGCCUAGCUCUUGCCUGAGCCGCUCUAGAUCGAUUCUCGACCUGCGGCUCGCCGGCCUAGCUCUUGCCCAAGCGGCUCCAGAUCGGUUCUCGACCUGUGCCUCGCGGGCUCAGCUUUUGCCCGAGUCACUCCAGAUCGGUUCCCGACCUACGGCUCGUCGGCCCAACUCUCACCCGAGUAGCUCCAGAUCGGUUCUCGACUUGUGGCUCGCCAGCCCAACUCUUGCCCGAGCCACUCCAGAUCGGUUUCCGACCUGCGGCUCGUCGGCCCAACUCUUGCCCGAGUUGCUCUAGAUCGAUUCCCGACUUGCGGCUCUCUAGCCCAGCUCUUGCCCGAGCCAUCCAGAUCGAUUCCUGACCUGCGGGUAGCCAGCCCAGCUCUUGCCCAAGCGCUCUAGAUAAGUUCCUGACCUGUGCCUCGCUGGCCCAGUUCCUGCCCGGGUUGUUCCAGUUUGCUCCUGACUUUCGAUUCGGAGUCGAGCUUACUCACUUGGUCCCCAGAUUCAAUUCGGAGCCGAGCUUACUCACUCGGUCCCCAUAUCCGAUUCGGAGCCAAGCUUACUCACUCGGUCCCUAGGUUCAAUUCGGAGCCGAGUUUACUCACUCGGUCCCUAUGUUCAAUUCGGGGAGCCGAGCUUACUCACUUGGUCCCCAGAUUCAAUUCGGAGCCGAGCUUACUCACUCGGUCCCCAUAUUCGAUUCAAAUUCGAGCUUACUCACUUAGUCCCUAGGUUCAAUUUGGAGCCGAGCUUAGUCACUCGGUCCCUAGAUCCGAUUUAGAGCCGAGCUUACUCACUCGGUCUCCAGAUUCGAUUCGGAGUCGAGCUUACUCACUCGGUCCCCAGAUCCGAUUCAGAGCCGAGCUUACUCACUCAGUCCCCAGGUUCAAUUCGGAGCAGAGCUUAGUCACUCGGUCCCCAAGUUCAAUUCAGAGCUGAGCUUAUUCACUUGAUCCCCAGGUUCAAAUCGGAGAUAAGCUUAUUCACUCGGUCCCUAGGUUUGAUUCGGAGUCGAGCUUACUCACUCGGUCCCCAGGCUUAAUUCGGAGCCGGGCUUACUCACUCGGUCACCAGGUUCAGUUUGGAGCCGAGCUUAGUCACUCAAUCCCCAGGUUCAAUUCAGAGUCGAACUUAUUCACUCGAUCCCCAGGUUCAAAUCAGAGAUGAGCUUAGUCACUCAGUCCUCAGGUUCAUUUCUUGCUCGGGUCGCUCCAGAUCGCUCCCGACUUGCUACCCAUCGACACCGAAACCCGAGCCCGAGCUCGGUCACUCGACCCAUAGGCCCAAUCCAGUGUCCGAGCCACGCAUCUCAGCCAAUCCAACGCCCGAGUCGCAUCUCGGCCAAAUCCAAUGCCCGAGUCGCAUCUCGGCCAAAUCCAGCAUCCGAGCCACGCACCUCGGCCAUCCAACACCCGAGCCACGCAACUCGGCCAAUCUAACGCCCGAGUCGCAUCUUGGCCAAAUCCAAUGCCCGAGUCACAUCUCGGCCAAAUCCAACGUCCAAGCCACACACCUCGGCCAUCCAAAGCUCGAGCCACGCAUCUCGGCCAAUCCAAUGCCCAAGUCGUAUCUCGGCCAAUCCAAUACCCAAGUCGCAUCUCGACCAAAUCCAACGUCCAAGCCAUGCACAUUGCCCAUCCAAUGCCCGAGCCACGCAUCUCGACCGAUCCAACACCCGAGUAGCAUCUUGGCCGGUCCAAACGCCCGAACCACACAUCUUGGCCGAUCCAAUGCCCGAGCCAUACCUUGCGGCCAAUCUUAUGCCCGAGUCACAUCUCGAUCGAUCCAACGCCCGAAUCACCGGCCUAGUCUGUUAAUCCAAGUCGCUCCACGUCAACCCCUGACUAGCUACCCGUCAAGUCUCUAAACCGAGCCACCCCGGCUCGCUCGCCAACUUGCAAACUCGGCAGUUGUAACACCAAGUCGUGCCAAACCCGUUAUCUAACCUACGACACGUCGGUGUCGCCUCGUCGGUUUCGCCACGUCGGUUUCGACACGUUGGUUUUGCCUCGUCAGGCCCCUGCCUCCUGAUCAGUAGAGUCGAUCUUGCACGAAGCAUGGGGCGCUACCCUUCUAAAUCGCCCCAUGACGAGUUAAUCCAACUUCCCCUCAUGAACGAUCAGCCUCACUUCGAAGUAUCAUAUAAUAAUAUUUGGGCAUGGAAAGUUAUAAUGUCCUCCAUUGGGUUAGCAUUGCCAUCGAAUGCCUCCAACGACGAUGGUGGAAGAUUGUUAGAAUCGAUUCUUCCUGAAUUUUCUAGGUGAAUGAUGAUCGACUCGAGGUGGAGUCAACCAACGCUUCCUUUUUGGAUUAUUAAAUUUUUUAUCAUAUCUCCUCUAAAUGUCGGUCCAUCUAUGAUAGUUGGAUUCGCAAGGAAUCCUUCAUCAAUUUCGUCAACCUAGCCUCUGAUUUAAGCAUGAUAGAGUCAUGAUGUGGUAUGUUAAAUUUAUGGUGAUGGAGCGAAGUACUCUCUUGACCAUGAUUGGAUAGGUUUCGGGUACUCUUAGGAUGUCAACAUUAUGUUGGGUGGGGGAACAUUGAUUGGUGGGUGAGCUAUUGGGCUAACUAGCGUAAAUGUUAGAGAUUUUAAUAUAUAGAAUAUGCAUACUUGCAAGGCAUCUCAUGUAUGUCAAUUGUUGCAACCCCUUUUUUUUCUUAUUUAAGAUCCCUUCUGUUUUUUGAAUCAUAAUUAUAUUUUAACUGUUUUUUAAUAUUUAAUUCCUUCCAUCGAAAGAAAUGAACUUGAAUAACGAGAUGAUAUAAUAAAAGACACAAUAUCAACAAAAAUUUCUCAAGACCUACGUAAAGAAAAAAAAAUUCUUUGUAAAAAGAGAAAAAGCUAUAUUAAUUAGCAAAAACUAAAAAAAACGAAGAGCCGUUAGUAGCCUCCGAGGAAGAACAAAAAGUGGGUCAGCCUAUNNNNNNNNNNNNNNNNNNNNUCAACUAUGCUAAUGAUCAUGUUAGUGCGAUGGGUUCACUCUGUCAUUUGCCUACGCAUACAAUAUAUACUUUAGAAAACACAUAUAUAUUGAAAUUGUAUAGUUCGUCGUGAUUCUUUCUAAUCCCACACCAUGUGCCUUUACCGGAUGAUGAGAUGGGACAUUCCUUGGUAUCGCAGUAAAGUCAGAGGUCAUUCGUUAGAGGAUUUAUUAUAUUAAUUAUUGAGAGAUUAUAGAUUUUUUUUUAUCUUUAUUUUUUAUUUUUAAUUCAUUACUCAUAAUAAUCUUAUUAAAGAUAAAAAGAGAAGAGAAUGGGACUACAGUAGUGUUGUUGUGGGCGACAACUAUAGCAACAUCGAUACCACUAGGGUGAUUGUUGUAGCUUGUUGCGAUCGUAGCAUUACCGUUGCUUAGGGCAACUACAGCAAUGUCAUUGCGGUAUUUGUUGGCCACGGUCGAUGUCAACUAGACGUAAAAGACCAUGAUACUCAGCGGUUGCAUGACAAACUCGUAAGUAUUAGUGGGUGCCACAAUGACUAUGUGGUUGCUAGUUGAUACAAAAUCACGUAUGGCUGCGAUGACGAUGAGGUCGUUGAUUAGUCACAUGCGAAGAGCUAUGCACCGGUAACGAAUGACUAGUGCUCCAAGUGUGGGCAUAGUGGGAUGCGAUGACAACAUGAGAAUUUUUUUUUUUUUUAAGUAUAUUUUUAUCUUGAUAUAAGAAAAUUAUAUCUCCUAAGGGCUCUUCACUGAUUUAAUCACCUGAGGAGAAGCGCAAGUAAAAUUCUCCAGCAUCAUUAGAAUCCAUGAAGUAAUAACGAAUUACGGUCAGACCUAAACAAAAGAGGAAUCUCUGUGGCGUGCACCGGUGUGCAAAAAGUGGUGGUCUGGUCAGUGUUAGCCCGAUAGGUACGGCGGGUGUGGCGUGCACCGGCCUGUUAUCCUUCCACCGUCAAGAGCGGGAGGUUAUCGCUGCUCUGUGAAACCAGCCUGACGCGGUGUCCUCCGCUUUAGGAUCCCAGAUGGCUCGGGCCUUCGUUCGGGCCACAUAGCUCAGCUGCCUGACUUGGAACGGGCAAGCCAAGUCUAGCACGACCGCACCCAACCUAUUCGGGCUGAACACAACAUCCCACCACCUUAUUGCCCCCACUCGGGUUACAAGCCGGCGUUACCGGGCUCGGCG